rnacentral:tRNA from 1 species
GCCGAGAUAGCUCAGCUGGUAGAGCAACGCAUUCGUAACGCGUAGGCCGUGGGUUCGAUCCCCAUUCUUGGCU